AGAGUUUGAUCCUGGCUCAGGACAAACGCUGGCGGCGUACCUAAGACAUGCAAGUCGAACGGGCGCUUCUCCUUUCGGGGAGAGGAUGCUAGUGGCGGACGGGUGAGUAACGCGUAGGAACCUAUCGCACAGUGGGGGAUAACACGGGGAAACCGGUGCUAAUACCGCAUACGAUCACUGGAGUAGGCUCUGGUGAAGAAAGCUGCCUGGCAACGGGUGGCGCAGGAGGAGCGGUCUGCGACCGAUUAGCUAGUUGGUGGGGUAAGAGCCUACCAAGGCGACGAUCGGUAGCUGGUCUGAGAGGAUGAUCAGCCACACUGGGAUUGAGAACGGCCCAGACUCCUACGGGGGGCAGCAGUGAGGGAUCUUCGUCAAUGGGGGAAACCCUGAACGAGCAACGCCGCGUGUGGGAAGACGGCCUUCGGGUUGUAAACCACUUUUCUUGGGGACGAGACAGGACGGUACCCGAGGAAGAAGUCUCGGCUAACUACGUGCCAGCAGCCGCGGUAAUACGUAGGAGACGAGCGUUGUCCGGAGUUACUGGGCGUAAAGGGUGCGCAGGCGGCCAGGCGCGUCGCUAGUGAAAUCUCCCGGCUCAACUGGGAGGGUAGUAGCGAGACGGCCUGGCUUGAGGCUCGGUGAGGGGCGUGGAAUUCCGGGUGGAGCGGUGAAAUGCGUAGAGAUCCGGAGGAACACCAACGGCGAAGGCAGCGCCCUAGACGAGACCUGACGCUCAGGCACGAAAGCUCGGGGAGCGAACAGGAUUAGAUACCCUGGUAGUCCGAGCCGUAAACGAUGUCCACCAGGUGUUGGGGGUAUCGACCCCUCCAGCGCCGCAGCCAACGUGAUGAGUGGACCGCCUGGGGAGUACGGCCACAAGGUUAAAACUCAAAGGAAUUGACGG
rnacentral:rRNA from 1 species